rnacentral:rRNA from 1 species
UUACACAAAUAUGAAGGCGGGCUGGAACCUCUCGGGGUUACAGCCUUGCUGAAUUAUUCACCCUUGUCUUUUGCGUACUUCUUGUUUCCUUGGUGGGUUCGCCCACCACUAGGACAAACAUAAACCUUUUGUAAUUGCAAUCAGCGUCAGUAACAAAUUAAUAAUUACAACUUUCAACAACGGAUCUCUUGGUUCUGGCAUCGAUGAAGAACGCAGCGAAAUGCGAUAAGUAGUGUGAAUUGCAGAAUUCAGUGAAUCAUCGAAUCUUUGAACGCACAUUGCGCCCUUUGGUAUUCCAAAGGGCAUGCCUGUUCGAGCGUCAUUUGUACCCUCAAGCUUUGCUUGGUGUUGGGCGUCUUGUCUCUAGCUUUGCUGGAGACUCGCCUUAAAGUAAUUGGCAGCCGGCCUACUGGUUUCGGAGCGCAGCACAAGUCGCACUCUCUAUCAGCAAAGGUCUAGCAUCCAUUAAGCCUUUUUUUCAACUUUUGACCUCGGAUCAGGUAGGGAUACCCGCUGAACUUAAGCAUAUCAAUAAGCGGAGGAAAAGAAACCAACAGGGAUUGCCCUAGUAACGGCGAGUGAAGCGGCAACAGCUCAAAUUUGAAAUCUGGCUCUUUUAGAGUCCGAGUUGUAAUUUGCAGAGGGCGCUUUGGCUUUGGCAGCGGUCCAAGUU